GGGUAAACCGCAGCCCAUUAUGCCUCCUUUGGCAUGCUACUGUUCCAUAAUGACAUUCAUCAAAGUUGGCAUUAGGGAGAAAAGACUUCUUCCUCAUCGGAGGGCAGCUGGGACCAGUUGUCUGAGGGAGAUCAUUAAGCCUGAAGGAUUGAGAGCACAGAGCCGGGAAGAGCUGGGGCUCCCUCACCUUCCGGCAGUUGCAGGCACUGGCACCCUGAGAGGUGAAUUAACUUCCUCAUCUGAGCCUCAGGAACGUUCUCAGACACAGCCCUGUGACAUUUUCUCUUGGCGAGCAAGGUGGGAGGUAAAAGAAACAUCAGCAUUGACUGGUAAGUGUGCCGCAGGCUUUUCAUGUUCUUCUUCCAUACCAUCCUCAACCCUUUGCACUCUGAAGCAUAAUCUUUUUUUUUUUUCUGCCUCCUUUUUCCCUCUUCCUGUCUAUAAACUUCUGCAGCCUUACAUUGUUUUGGUUUUGUUUUCAGUAACUAGAAGCUUCAAGUCCCCCAGAAAAUAAGUAUUCGCUGGGGAUUUAGCUCAGUGGUUCUGGCGCCUGCUGCGCAAACGCAAGGUCCUGAGUUCGAUCCCUGAUACUAAAAAAAAAAAAAAAAAAGAAAAGAAGUAUUCAUACUGACAAGGAAGCAGUCUCCUUAAAUCAUCUACAUGUGUGAGUCCUAAACACUUUAGGUAAAAGAAGAAUCUCUAAACUGUUCCUUUAAUCCUCUCCCACCCCCUCCAC
rnacentral:lncRNA from 1 species